GUAGAAGAUGCAGGCACUCUUACCUCUUUCACCCCCACCUCUCCCUAUUGCAAGUACCACAAAAACCUUGGCCUUGCAAUGGAGGACCUUCCCAAGGUUGAAGAUCCCCAGAUGUUCCCCAAUCAAAGGAAGUUCAGUUGUGGGCCAUGACGCUUCAACAGUUGAUUACAGCUCCGUGACCUCUGUUUUCCCAGCUGAGGCUUGCGAGACAAUAGGAGGGGAAGCUUGUGAUGUUGAAAUGUAUCCUGAAGUGAAGCUCAAAUCAAUUGCCACAAGCACUACUAGCACUACCACUGAACAGAUAGACACAGAGUACUUAGACUACAAUAGUCCCAAGACGGUGUUCCUAGAAGAGGCUUGUGAUGAUCUCGGUGGAGAAUUUUGCGAUCCUGAGUACAAAAAGGAGUUUUAGUAGAACAUUUUGGGAAUAUAAAUCCCUUGGCAAUGUAUCUAACGAAGUUCUUGAAUAAUAUAUGCGAAUUGAAUAUGUACUUUCUUUUCUAAGUUGCUGUUACAAACGGGC
rnacentral:misc_RNA from 1 species